rnacentral:lncRNA from 1 species
AGAGACUUGGUUUAAAAAUAAUUUUCAAAUCUAUGCUCAAGCAAGCUUUAACAAAAAUCGAAAGUCGAAAGUUGUUUGCUAAAGACAAUAAGACUAAGGAUCUAGGGUUUUUGAAUCCACUAGAUCUAGAUUAGGGAAUUCUACCUAAAAUUUUUUUUAUUGAUCCUAACGACUACUCCUCUUGUCUUUUUCAAGCAUAGAUUAUGAAGGAACUAAGGCCCAACGAUAACCCAUCAAGAUUUUUUACAGGGGAGUAGUAACUAGGAUCCCUUAGGGUUUUCUCCUCCUAUGCACUGAAUCAAGCAUGAACUAUGAAGGGACUCUGACCCAACUGUAGUUCAUCAAAAAUUUUUGGUAAAAGAGGAAGAAAAAGAAAGAACCCUAUGUAAAAUCCCUACUCAUGAUCUAGCUUCAUCGCAAACCCUAGAAGGGAUGCUUAGCUAGACAUGAUUUAAAUCUACUUGCAAAAUUUAAAUGCAGAAAAAUAAACUACCCUAAUUUCAUAAAUUAAACUAUCCUAAUUGUAUAAAUUUAAACUGCAUAAUUUAAACUAACCUAAUUGCAUAAAAUUAAAUUGNNN